ACGUGGUAUCCUGUCUGAAUAUGGGGGGACCAUCCUCCAAGGCUAAAUACUCCUGACUGACCGAUAGUGAACCAGUACCGUGAGGGAAAGGCGAAAAGAACCCCGGCGAGGGGAGUGAAAAAGAACCUGAAACCGUGUACGUACAAGCAGUGGGAGCACAGAGCAAUCUGUGUGACUGCGUACCUUUUGUAUAAUGGGUCAGCGACUUAUAUUCUGUAGCAAGGUUAACCGAAUAGGGGAGCCGAAGGGAAACCGAGUCUUAACUGGGCGUUAAGUUGCAGGGUAUAGACCCGAAACCCGGUGAUCUAGCCAUGGGCAGGUUGAAGGUUGGGUAACACUAACUGGAGGACCGAACCGACUAAUGUUGAAAAAUUAGCGGAUGACUUGUGGCUGGGGGUGAAAGGCCAAUCAAACCGGGAGAUAGCUGGUUCUCCCCGAAAGCUAUUUAGGUAGCGCCUCGUGAAUUCAUCUCCGGGGGUAGAGCACUGUUUCGGCAAGGGGGUCAUCCCGACUUACCAACCCGAUGCAAACUGCGAAUACCGGAGAAUGUUAUCACGGGAGACACACGGCGGGUGCUAACGUCCGUCGUGAAGAGGGAAACAACCCAGACCGCCAGCUAAGGUCCCAAAGUCAUGGUUAAGUGGGAAACGAUGUGGGAAGGCCCAGACAGCCAGGAUGUUGGCUUAGAAGCAGCCAUCAUUUAAAGAAAGCGUAAUAGCUCACUGGUCGAGUCGGCCUGCGCGGAAGAUGUAACGGGGCUAAACCAUGCACCGAAGCUGCGGCAGCGACGCUGAUGCGUUGUUGGGUAGGGGAGCGUUCUGUAAGCCUGUGAAGGUGUGCUGUGAGGCAUGCUGGAGGUAUCAGAAGUGCGAAUGCUGACAUAAGUAACGAUAAAGCGGGUGAAAAGCCCGCUCGCCGGAAGACCAAGGGUUCCUGUCCAACGUUAAUCGGGGCAGGGUGAGUCGACCCCUAAGGCGAGGCCGAAAGGCGUAGUCGAUGGGAAACAGGUUAAUAUUCCUGUACUUGGUGUUACUGCGAAGGGGGGACGGAGAAGGCUAUGUUGGCCGGGCGACGGUUGUCCCGGUUUAAGCGUGUAGGCUGGUUUUCCAGGCAAAUCCGGAAAACUAAGGCUGAGGCGUGAUGACGAGGCACUACGGUGCUGAAGCAACAAAUGCCCUGCUUCCAGGAAAAGCCUCUAAGCAUCAGGUAACAUCAAAUCGUACCCCAAACCGACACAGGUGGUCAGGUAGAGAAUACCAAGGCGCUUGAGAGAACUCGGGUGAAGGAACUAGGCAAAAUGGUGCCGUAACUUCGGGAGAAGGCACGCUGAUAUGUAGGUGAAGUCCCUCGCGGAUGGAGCUGAAAUCAGUCGAAGAUACCAGCUGGCUGCAACUGUUUAUUAAAAACACAGCACUGUGCAAACACGAAAGUGGACGUAUACGGUGUGACGCCUGCCCGGUGCCGGAAGGUUAAUUGAUGGGGUCAGCGCAAGCGAAGCUCUUGAUCGAAGCCCCGGUAAACGGCGGCCGUAACUAUAACGGUCCUAAGGUAGCGAAAUUCCUUGUCGGGUAAGUUCCGACCUGCACGAAUGGCGUAAUGAUGGCCAGGCUGUCUCCACCCGAGACUCAGUGAAAUUGAACUCGCUGUGAAGAUGCAGUGUACCCGCGGCAAGACGGAAAGACCCCGUGAACCUUUACUAUAGCUUGACACUGAACAUUGAGCCUUGAUGUGUAGGAUAGGUGGGAGGCUUUGAAGUGUGGACGCCAGUCUGCAUGGAGCCGACCUUGAAAUACCACCCUUUAAUGUUUGAUGUUCUAACGUUGACCCGUAAUCCGGGUUGCGGACAGUGUCUGGUGGGUAGUUUGACUGGGGCGGUCUCCUCCUAAAGAGUAACGGAGGAGCACGAAGGUUGGCUAAUCCUGGUCGGACAUCAGGAGGUUAGUGCAAUGGCAUAAGCCAGCUUGACUGCGAGCGUGACGGCGCGAGCAGGUGCGAAAGCAGGUCAUAGUGAUCCGGUGGUUCUGAAUGGAAGGGCCAUCGCUCAACGGAUAAAAGGUACUCCGGGGAUAACAGGCUGAUACCGCCCAAGAGUUCAUAUCGACGGCGGUGUUUGGCACCUCGAUGUCGGCUCAUCACAUCCUGGGGCUGAAGUAGGUCCCAAGGGUAUGGCUGUUCGCCAUUUAAAGUGGUACGCGAGCUGGGUUUAGAACGUCGUGAGACAGUUCGGUCCCUAUCUGCCGUGGGCGCUGGAGAACUGAGGGGGGCUGCUCCUAGUACGAGAGGACCGGAGUGGACGCAUCACUGGUGUUCGGGUUGUCAUGCCAAUGGCACUGCCCGGUAGCUAAAUGCGGAAGAGAUAAGUGCUGAAAGCAUCUAAGCACGAAACUUGCCCCGAGAUGAGUUCUCCCUGACUCCUUGAGAGUCCUGAAGGAACGUUGAAG
rnacentral:rRNA from 1 species